CUCCGCUGCCGAGGUCCAUUGUAUGGACAGCGCCGGGGUGCAGGAGGGUGGUCUGUGUGGUCUCCAAUCACAUUAUGGCCACACUGGAUGACUACAGAACACAUUUAUGUAUUUGUUUUAUGGGUUAAAGUGAUGCACUUAUCUGCAUCAAAAGAAUAAAAAUGAAACUAGAUAUAGAUAGAUAAAGAGAAGGUUGGCUGCAGCACACAACAAUGAAGUUUCAAGUGAUUUUAUUCCAUUCCAAAGCAAAGGGUAUCAAAUCACUUGAAACUUCAUUUUUGUGAGCUGCAGCCAACCUUCUUUCUUGUGGAUAGCUGUGGGCCCUUGACCUGGGCUUUUUUGCUGCUCUGCAUCAAACUACAGGUUUAUAUUGAGGUGCCGCCAAACCUGGACUUUUAUCUAUAUAUAGAUAUAGAUACAUCUCAAAGUAUGUAUAUAGGAAAUGAUUGAAGUCUCUCUCCGACCACAAUAUACCACCAGCAAGUUUAUUACACUGCGUAGAGGCCUAAAACAUAUUCACUUGAAAUGAUAAGGUAAGAGCUGAUUUGGCAUUUUGAAGGUCACUCAAGAAGGUACAGGAAGAGAAGAUAUUUGGAGAAGAACUACUGGUUUUUUUUUUUCCAGAGAAAACAUCAUGGUCAAUAAUGAUUUUAUUGCUCACACUAACAAAAUGGAGGCUAUGAAGCAGCCAGCUGAACCAUUCUACCUUCAGCAUCCUCCUCUUGUUUCCUUAUCUGUAAUUACUCUUCAUAUUUCAUCUGUCAUUUCUGAGACAGUCAAGUGCAACCUGAUACUCUAUCAUUAAAUGAGUAAUUGUAGGAAUUCAAGAAAGAUGAGAAGGCUGCUCUACUGGAUUAUACAAUUCUAUCUUGAGUAUUAUGCAAUUACUAUAUCAUUGUAUUGAGAGUUCUACAAAUUAAUUAACAAAAGCACAAAAUGUAUCUGCAUCUGUAUGUAAAAAUUGUAUAAAGAAGCAUAAAGGAAAAAACUUAUCUGACUCUAAACCAGCCUGGGGAUGUCAGUAAACUUAGCAUCACUGGCAGCCAUUAAACUAAUACUGUAAGGGGCAAGGGAACCACUAGGUCAUCUCUGCUGGGUCAGAGGAGUAUGUGUAUUAAAGAGUUGGGUAGUGUUUUUUGUUUUUUCUUUGAUAUAUUUAAAAAAAAAAAAAGUUUUUUUCUGUUUGUUUUUAAGAACCUUAAUUUAGUUAUUAUUGGCCAGUUUCAAUGUUUCCAUUAAUAUCCAUCACUAUAUAAUAUUAUAUUAUAUUAAUAUUAUUCUAAAGCAAAUAUAUUUUAUGGUCUACUCACAUGCACAGAUUCCUGCACAUCUCUUAAAGCCGACACUCACUCACCUAGACAGGAAAUAGAGUAUAGUAUAUGCAUGCCUAUGUUCAGACAGGCAGCCUUGCCCCAGUAAUUGAAAAAAAAAAAUAAGAAAAUUAACAUGAUGGCAGUGAGCCCCCACUUGGCCCGGGCCCUUGGGCAGUGCCCAAAUGCCUGACCUCUCAGUCUACCCCUGGCCCCUCAUAACCUGUAUGUGUAUAUACAUUAACAUAUCUUACAUUCUUACAAUACAGGUAAUAGAAACAUCCAUCUUUUAUUAAAUGUUUUUACCCAUCGGAAUCUCUUGUUUACUUUUUUAUACAUCAGAUAUAAGGCCCAAACAUGAGCAUCACCUUACAUAUUAGCUGACAAGUUUUAUCUCCUACAAAUACAUAUAAAA